GACAGAGGUGGCAAGCGUUGCUCGGAUUCACUGGGCUUAAAGGGCGCGUAGGUGGUCUUGCAAGUCUGAGGUGGAAUUCCACAGCUUAACUGUGGAACUGCCUCUGAUACUGCAAGGCUUGAGUCAGGUAGAGGAGGGCGGAAUUCCCGGUGUAGCGGUGAAAUGCGUAGAUAUCGGGAGGAAGGCCUGUGGCGAAGGCGGCCCUCUGGGCCUGCACUGACGCUCAUGCACGAAAGCGUGGGGAGCAAACAGG
rnacentral:rRNA from 1 species